UGGCGAUGAACGGGAAUGCCCAUCGAGUAACUGCCGGUCAUCUUGGCCGCGUGGAAUGUCUCGUUUGGGAGAGUCUCAUCGGGAGCUGGACAGCCAGUCAAAGUCCAACUUGACAGUGGCCACUGCCCAUAGAGGGUGAUAGGCCCGUAAGGCGGCUGUCCGUUUCCGCCGACUUUUCCCCAGAGUCGGGUUGCUUGGGAGUGCAGCCCAAAGUGCGAGGUAAACUCCUCGUAAGGCUAAAUAUGACCUCGAGACCGAUAGCAAACAAGUACCGUGAGGGAAGAUUGAAAAGAACUUUGAAGAGAGAGUUCAAUAGUACGUGAAACUGUGUGGUGGUAAACAGAGGGGUUCUCGAAGUUUCUGUGGGGAACUCAACCUUGGUGUCGGGCAGUCAGGGUGUGUCGGAUCAGCAAUGACCGUGCACUCUGUCCGGCUUGGCUCUCGGGUGCAUUUCCCCCUCAGUUUACGGCAGGAACUGUUUGGUACAGACCGAAGGCCUUGGGUGAAGUUGUUGCUUAUGGUGGCAGCCCCUUGUGUCCUGGCUCUGAACCCAACAGGUACGUGAGAGGACUCGUAUAGCGAGCAAUGCUCUGUUGCAGUUCUCAUCUCUCUGCCGAGUAGGUCGGCGGCCCCUCUGACCCGUCUUGAAACACGGACC
rnacentral:rRNA from 1 species